rnacentral:rRNA from 1 species
GACGGAGGGUGCAAGCGUUAUUCGGAUUCACUGGGCGUAAAGCGCGCGUAGGCGGUUUGAUAAGUUGGAUGUGAAAGCCCCGGGCUCAACCUGGGAAUUGCAUCCAAAACUGUCUGACUAGAGUACGGUAGAGGGUGGUGGAAUUUCCUGUGUAGCGGUGAAAUGCGUAGAUAUAGGAAGGAACAUCAGUGGAGAAGGCGACCACCUGGACUGAUACUGACGCUGAGGUGCGAAAGCGUGGGGAGCAAACAGGAUUAGAUACCCU